rnacentral:rRNA from 1 species
UACAGAGGCCUCGAGCGUUAGGCGGAAUCACUGGGCUUAAAGCGCGUGUAGGCGGAUCGUUAAGUACCUUGUGAAAUCCCACGGCUCAACCGUGGAACUGCUGGGUAUACUGGCGGUCUUGGGCCAUCUAGGGGGUCGCCGGAACAAGCGGUGGAGCGGUGAAAUGCGUAGAUAUCGCUUGGAACGCCAAAGGUGAAGACAGGCGACUGGAGAUGUGCCGACGCUGAGACGCGAAAGCCAGGGGAGCGAACGGG